GAUGAACGCUGGCGGCGUGCCUAAUACAUGCAAGUCGAGCGAACAGACGAGUAGCUUGCUCCUCUGACGUUAGCGGCGGACGGGUGAGUUACACGUGGAUAUCCUACCUAUAAGACUGUGAUAACUUCGGGAAACCGGAGCUAAUACCGGAUAAUAUCUUGAACCGCAUGGUUCAAUAGUGAAAGACGGUUUUGCUGUCACUUAUAGAUUGAUCCGCGCCGGAUUAGCUAGUUGGUGGGGUAACGGCUUACCAAGGCAACGAUGAGUAGCCGGCCUGAGAGGACGAGCAGCGACACUGGGAAUGAGACAAGGCCGAGACUCCUACGGGAGGCAGCAGUGGGGAAUGUUGGACAAUGGGCGAAAGCCUGAUCAAGCAAUGCCGCGUGUGUGAAGAAGGCCUUCGGGUUGUAAAGCACUUUUGUAAGGAAAGAAAUACUUGGCCCGAAUACGGGCGGGGGAUGACGGUACCGGAAGAAUAAGCAACGGCUAACUACGUG
rnacentral:rRNA from 1 species